rnacentral:rRNA from 1 species
GCCUUGGGAUAGGCUUGCGUCUGAUUAGUUAGUUGGUGUGGUAACGGCACACCAAGGCUACGAUCAGUAACUGGUCUGAGAGGAUGAUCAGUCACACUGGAACUGAGACACGGUCCAGACUCCUACGGGAGGCAGCAGUGAGGAAUAUUGGGCAAUGCUCGAAAGAGUGACCCAGCAACGCCGCGUGGAGGAUGAAGGUAUUCUAUAUCGUAAACUCCUGUGAGAGCAGACGAAAGACAGAUUAUUAAUCUGGAUGACUGUAUGCUCAGAGGAAGCCCCGGCUAACUACGUG